UAGUUCUGUUUCUUGAACUAUGUGGACAUGGCAAUGUCAUAAUCAUUUGCAUAGAUACUUACUUUGGGAAGACUAGUAUCGGACAGACCUAUGAAACUUUACUGUAAGCGAUGAAAAUCUGUCAUAAGUAAAUUUCAUUAAAAUUAUUAGACACUAAAUCCUCAAUACCUGAGUGAUUUGAGAUUACUUGUUUGAGAACUGGUUACUUUGACGUUGACCAAUCGUCGCACCGUAAAAGGAGGCUAUAAAGGCAACGCUCAGGUAAUCACCUAUCAAACGAAGUCUAAUCUCAAGAUCGCAAGAUUGGGAUUGUCCUCCCAUAAAUCGGGAUGAGAUGCUUAAAAGUUGUACAAGGCCACUCGGAGAGCUAGAAACUGUGAAAUGCAUGGCCGUGCUCGGAUGAAUCAUAGGUUAUGAUUAUCUGUUUAUUUGAUCAGUUGAACUCUGAAACCGAGAAACACCUCUGCACAUAAUAAGGAUGACAACUCUUACUUUAUGUUCAAGAGCAAGCAUCGAGCGACAAAUGAAUUAGGAAAUGCACACUUGUCCCUAAGGACAAGUGGGAGACUGAAGGAAAUAAUGCCCUUGGUCCAAGUAUGCAUUCUAUGUUAAGUCUAAUAAGUGCGGUUCAGUAUUAAUUAACAAGUUAAUAAUUCAGUGAGAUCAAGUGAGCUGAAUGCCUAGCUAGAGGCCGCUUCAGUUCAAGUGGAAUUAAUGAUAUUAAUCCACAACUUACUCUUGACUGAACCCGUAGGGUCACACAAAAAGUACGUAAACGAAUCAAGUGUUUAAUGGCAUUAAAUACUCUAUCUAUGGAUAUUCGGAAUCGACGGAUCUUGGUUUCAGUGGGAGCUGAGAUCGUCACAAGCAAGAAAUGAAUACUCCGGAAAUGAUGAUAUUGCCGGAAACGGAAAUAUGGAUCGUAUCGGAAAUAUAAAUAUUAUCCAAGUCGUAGAUGUUGCCGGAAAUGGAAACAUGGUACGUAUCGGAAAAUAUUAUGGGAAAUGGAAAUAUUGCCGGAAUCGGAAAUAUUGCCGGAAACGGAAAUAUUGUCAGAAUCGGAAAUAUUAUCGGAAUCGGAAAAUAAUUCCGGAAACGGAAAUAAUAAAUAUUUGUUCGAAACGGAAAUUAAUUCCGGAAUCGGAAAUAUUAAAUAUUGUUCGUAUCGGAAAUGAAUGCCGGAACCGGGAAUUUAAUCGGAAGCGUAUCGUACGAAUAAGCAUCGGACGAGGCCUGCCGGACGAGGGCCCAGCACGAAGCCAGGUCAUCGCCCAGCAAGCCAAGCGCGCCACACGAACAGCCAAGGCCACGCCAGGCCCAGCGCAAGGCCAGGCCCAGCAGGCCAUGGCAGCGCGCGCAGCAAUAGGCUGCGAGCUGUGCUGCUGCUCGCGUGGGCUUGCGGCUCGCGUGGGCCCAGCGGCCGUGUGGGCUGUGCGCGGGCAUGGCCUGCACGCUCGUGGGUCAUGCUCGUGUAGAGUUUGUGUUCACAUACGAAACCUAAAUUGUAUAGGAUUUGUUUGAUGAUUAAAUUCCUAAUCCUAAAAGGAUAAAAUUAAUUAGUUAGAGUCCUACUAGGAUUCUAGUUUAACUAAUUAGUAUCCUAAUAGGAUUCCAGUUCCUUUUUCAUACCUCUAUAAAUAAGGGCCUAGGGUCAUUAUUUGCAGGUACGAUUGAAGUAUUCAAAGGGUAAGUUUUUGAAAGAAAACUCAGCCAUACACUUGCAAACACAUAGCCGAAAUUCCUAGUAACCUUAAGGGCGAUUCUAGUUGGUCUAACUUGAGGCGGAUCCGGACGUACUGUGGACUAUCUACGGAGGGACGACAUUUGGAGUCCUAAAGACUUGUUCUUGUUCGGUUCGGGCGCAGCUAGGGAAGGCACGCUACAACAUAUGUUUGCAUUGUGGAGUUCCAAAAGAGAGGUUUACCUCAUGCUCAUAUACUUCUAUGGUUAAGUGAAGAAGGAGUAGAGCUCAGUCCGCAAUUUAUAGACAGUAUCAUUCUAGCAGAGAUCCCUGACAAAGAAACAAACCCCGAAUUAUACGCUGAUGUUUCACGUUACAUGGUUCAUGGCCCCUGUGGUAAUGCUAAUCCGAACUGCCCCUGCAUGGUGGAUAAAAAAUGCAGCAAAAACUACCCCAAACAAUUCAAUUCAGAGACUACUAUCGAUAGCAAUGGUCACCCUGUAUACAGAAGAAGGGAGGAUGGCAGGUAUAUAUAUUUACAUACAAUAUAUCUAUUUAGUAUAAUAAAUGAUAUAUACAUUGCUACAUACUUAAAUCAUAAAAAUAAAACAUGUAACAGAUUCUUAAGUAUAAAUGAUUUGUACAUUACCACAUUACAUUUUAUUUUCAAUAAAUAAUAGUCCAAUUUUACUA